rnacentral:rRNA from 1 species
CCUACGGGAGGCUGCAGUGAGGAAUAUUGGUCAAUGGACGAGAGUCUGAACCAGCCAAGUAGCGUGAAGGAUGACUGCCCUAUGGGUUGUAAACUUCUUUUAUAUGGGAAUAAAAUGUUCCACGUGUGGGAUUUUGUAUGUACCAUAUGAAUAAGGAUCGCCUAACUCCGUGCCAGCAGCCGCGGUAAUACGGAGUAUCCGAGCGUUAUCCGGAUUUAUUGGGUUUAAAGGGAGCGUAGGUGGAUUGUUAAGUCAGUUGUGAAAGUUUGCGGCUCAACCGUAAAAUUGCAGUUGAAACUGGCAGUCUUGAGUACAGUAGAGGUGAGCGGAAUUCGUGGUGUAGCGGUGAAAUGCUUAGAUAUCACGAAGAACUCCGAUUGCGAAGGCAGUUCACUGGACUGCAACUGACACUGAGGCUCGAAAGUGUGGGUAUCAAACAGGAUUAGAUACCCCUGUAGUC